AGCAGCCGCGGUAAUUCCAGCUCCAAUAGCGUAUAUUAAAGUUGUUGCAGUUAAAAAGCUCGUAGUUGAAUUUCGGGAUCAAAGAAUCGGUCAUGCCUUGGUAUGUACUGGUUUUAUUGGUUCUCACCUUCUAAAGAACCACGAUGUCAUUCAUUUGAUGUUAUGGGGAAUUAGGACUGUUACCUUGAAAAAAUUAGAGUGUUUAAAGCAAGCUUACGCUUGAAUACAUUAGCAUGGAAUAAUGAAAUAGGACAUCAGAUUCUAUUUUGUUGGUUUCUAGGAUCGAUGUAAUGAUUAAUAGGGAUAGUUGGGGGCAUUAGUAUUCAAUUGUCAGAGGUGAAAUUCUUGGAUUUAUUGAAGACUAACUACUGCGAAAGCAUUUGCCAAGGAUGUUUUCAUUAAUCAAGAACGAAAGUUAGGGGAUCGAAGACGAUCAGAUACCGUCGUAGUCUUAACCAUAAAC
rnacentral:misc_RNA from 1 species